CAGUCGUACGGCGCGCGAUGGCGCGUUUCGUCGGAGCGCAAGUCCGACGGGCGUGUGUGGAAAUAGUAGUGUUCGUUCGAUGCAUUUCCGGAAGGUAUGCGCCGCGACCGAUGCGAAAGGCUAGUGAAUCCAACGAUUUGAGGUGGAAACCCCUCGGGGUCUUCAUUACCAGUUCGCUGGCUUAUAAUCGCUAGACCGUAGUAAGCAUCGAGCGCGAAAUAUAUCUGACACCGGCAAAAGUGCUCGUUUCAGUGGUGGAUCGUCGCCGGAUUAUGCCGUACCUGCUCGCAGGUUAUGCGUACUCCCGUGCGGCGUUUGAAGCUGCGGACGAGUCUAUGGUGUUCUGGCGUCAGCGGCGUCCGAGACGGUCAACCGUCCGACCCGUCUUGAAACACGGACCAAGGAGUCUAACGUACGCGCGAGCUAAUGAGUGGAAAACUCAUAAGCGCAAUAAAAGUAAUGGGUACGAUCCUGGGGUAUUUACUUACCCCGGGCGCAGUACCGUCCCAUCCUGAUCGCUUGUCGAUAGGGUGGAGAUCGAGUGCGUACGUUGGGACCCGAAAGAUGGUGAACUAUGCCUGAGCAGAGCGAAGCCAGAGGAAACUCUGGUGGAGGUUCGUAGCGGUUCUGACGUGCAAAUCGAUCGUCAGA
rnacentral:rRNA from 1 species